GAUGAACGCUGGCGGCGUGCCUAAUACAUGCAAGUCGAGCGAACAGACGAGGAGCUUGCUCCUCUGACGUUAGCGGCGGACGGGUGAGUAACACGUGGAUAACCUACCUAUAAGACUGGGAUAACUUCGGGAAACCGGAGCUAAUACCGGAUAAUAUAUUGAACCGCAGGGUUCAAUAGUGAAAGACGGUUUUGCUGUCACUUAUAGAUGGAUCCGCGCCGCAUUAGCUAGUUGGUAAGGUAACGGCUUACCAAGGCAACGAUGCGUAGCCGACCUGAGAGGGUGAUCGGCCACACUGGAACUGAGACACGGUCCAGACUCCUACGGGAGGCAGCAGUAGGGAAUCUUCCGCACUGGGCGAAAGCCUGAAGAAGCAACGCCGCGUGAGUGAUGAAGGUCUUCGGAUCGUAAAACUCUGUUAUUAGGGAAGAACAAAUGUGUAAGUAACUAUGCACGUCUUGACGGUACCUAAUAAGAAAGCCACGGCUAACUACGU
rnacentral:rRNA from 1 species